CAAAAUGCUUUUUUUAAAGCACAUAAUUCAUCCAGUAGAAUUAUAU
rfam:Nomascus leucogenys chromosome 17, whole genome shotgun sequence.